GGAAGGAGUGCAAGGGAUAUGAAGCAGAGGAUAAAGCAGGGUCGGAUCGCCUUCAAUAAAUAGAACUCACAUUCUUCUAUCUUCUGCUAUCAUGCAGUUGUUCUUGGAAUUCUCCACUACAUAAUUUAAUAGUAAAGCAACAUCGGAUUUGAUCUUGGACAUCAUACGACCAAAACGCUGCCCGAUGAAUACCAAGAGUGAAAACGUAUGACCAAAAUCAAGGGUUAAUGCUUAAAACCAAGAUAAAUACCAUGCCUGAUAUGGAAUUUUGUUCAUCACAAUCCAUCUCCUUAGCCCAGUGCUGGUCGUCAUUCCUAUUUUCUUAUGACAAAGUACGUAUCCGUGUGCUAAAGUAUCAAAACCUUUGCAGAUUGUAGACGUACUUACAUAGAUUUAUACAAUCUUUUAUAACUUUUUUAUCUAUCCAUAUCCCCUAUGCCUUUUUUUUUUUAAUUUUUUUACCGAAAUUAUUUUGCUCUCGCCUUUACAAUAAGCUUUCUUAAAAUAGUUCACGAAAUGUGUAGCUACCAGCUCAGCUGUUGGGUCUUUUUUAAGCUUCACGAUACUUUUACGAUCAUUCCUUUCGCCGUUAUUCAUAUAAUAUACAGUUAUUUCCUCAGUUCAUGGCUUCUGUAAAAUUUUUAUUGUUCACCGGCGUUUUUAUCGUAUUACAUUAUAGAACGUGUUUUCUUAAGGAAUAUAGAAAUUUAUUUCAAUCUGUCACCGAACUACCGGUGACAAAGGAAUGAAAAAAUAAAUGUCUUUUUGUCAGUGUAUUAUUUCGAUCAUGAUUAUAAAUUCAAUAUAAAACGAACCGACUCUGUAUUUAUAUUUCGAGUGGUUUUAUCUGUUCUUCAUUAAUUUUCUUUUUCUACUUCAUCUUGAUAAUGACAAAUGCGAAAGUUAGAAAUCAGACUCCGAAUAAAUGAGUUAAAUGAGGAGGUGUUACAAAGAAUAGAAAAACAGAGGUCCCUGUGGAUCAAUAGGAAAUAGGCCAGAUAGGCUGGUGUUGGUUGGACAUCUUCUCAAGCAUAUAGAGCUAGUCAGAAGUAGAGACAUAUUGGAAGCAGAAUCAGAAGUUAAGAACAGUGGAGUUUCAGGGAAAAGCAAAUAUUAGUUCAGGAUAGAAAAAUGUGGAGGUGCUGUCCAACUAAUCUUACGACUUGAGGACGUUAUGAUGCUGUUGAUAUACAUAAAGACAAAAAUUCGAAGUACAAGUCGGAAGUUACAACUCGUAGAAAUCAGUACUUAUAUGCAUUUGUUUCUUAAUUUUUCCAUAUUUUCUGAUUUUAAUACAUUACAUUGCUCUAAUGUUUGAACUGUUUACCGUUAACUGUAUUCAAUUCUAAGUAAUUUUGUAUCAAAAACUCCAAAUGUUUUACUUACCUUCUUAUCACAAAUAGAGAGGAAGUACG